ACGGGCGCCUCUUCCUCCGCUCCACAUUGGUGCGAAGGGAGCGCAAUACAUAGCACCGCUGAAGGCUUCCGAAUGAGGCUUCUAAAAUCAAUACACACACUGAAUGGUGUUUUCCACCACCACACAACAAGCAAACGCGUUUUGUGUUGUCACAAAGAAAUGUGUCUGUCGCGCCAUCGUUUGUGCCUGGUUGCAACCUGUUUCCGACUCCGUACCUUGCCGCGUGUGUGUGUGUGUGUAUCGAUUGCUCCCCGAUAUUAUUUUUGCCCUACCGGCCAGAGGGGGGAAAUGGAGAAAAUUAUCAACUAUAAAUGUCUCCAUGGCACACUUUUGCGCUCGGAGUCGUACACCAGUGCACACCCUAAUUCGUGAAGCUUUGCCAAAAUGUGCACGCAAGGACCUCAAAAAUACACUUUGUUUGAAGAUUCGGUGGCUAGAAUGGGCUUCAGCCGUUUCUAAAUAAAGACCAGAUGCAUUGCACGAUUGAUUUCCCUUCACCUGCCAGAAGUCCACCGUACACGUGUGUCGCAUUAUCGGCCAAUUUCCGCCCCACAAGAAGAAGAAUAUUUAAAUGUUUGCAGCAAUUUGGAAGCAACGGCCAACAAACACCGCACGAUGAGGGGUUUAGUGCACUAGGCUCGAUAACGGUUGGACGAUAACAUAGCACAGAAACCCAUCCCUUCUCCCCGUGCUGCCAUGUUAUGCAUGCACAUGGGCAUGCUUUUGGCACCGUGUGCGAAGGGAAAGCAUCGGACUGCCCAAUGUGACCGCAGCGAGCGCGCGCACACGCGAGAUAAAGUGUAAUACACAUUAUAGUGCAGUGAAGGAAAGACACAAAAGAACGAACCAAACCGACGUGCACCAGGGCGUUGUGGACACGCUGGGAGAGCGCGACUUUCCCAAACCGGUCACAUUCCUUCCGGUCAGUAUCAGCCCGCAGCCGCCGUGAGGCGACAUUUUACAGUGAGCGGUGCUCUGUUCGGUAGUGCCAACCCCGGUUUGGGAUGGUAGUGCCGGGGUAGUAAAAUCGGGAGCAGUUAAACCAUCCCAAUUGCGGCAGCAGAAACCAUCGCACCGGGCGAGAGAGUGCGCGCGAUGCUGAAGCAAACUGUCACACUAGUGUGUACGCUCUUUUUUCGGGGGGACGGAUGAUGCUGCCGGUUCGAGCGAUUCUUACGUCGUCGUGCAUCAUCAUCAUCAUCAUCACCGUCGUCGUCGUCGCCGCCGUGUGCCCUCUUCUCAAGGGUCCAGCAGCACCCGAUUACAAAUCACUUUUCUAGCCGGAUGCCACCAGCCGACCCGGUAGAAGCCGUCUGUGUCGCGGGUACAGCAGAAGCAACCGUGUACGGUGGCGAAAAAUCGAAACGAAUCAGAGAAAAUCGACCACCACACAGACCGUCGACACACCACGCGCGCCGCAGGUAGCGAGACACCGAAAACUUGAAAAAAUGCCGAAAAAUGCACCGAUCUGCUCACCGGAAAGCGCUGAAGGAUGGUGGGUCGGCCUUAAUUUGCCAGUGUGCCGCGUUGUGAAUGGUGUUGAAAAAACUACUAUUUUCGGGAUUAAUGAGAGAAGUGUGGGGAAGCGUGUGUAGCUCAAAACAAAGAUAAUACAAAACUAGCGAGCGGUUCUGAGGGAAAACACACUCGCAACUACGUACGGCAAACGGGACAACGCGAAUCACUGUGACAGGCACGAUAUCACGCACACUAGCGCCGGCAGGCAAUCGGAAUACGUCUGGGCGUUCUAUGUGUGCGUGUGUAUGUGCAGUGUGUAUGCGCAUUGCCACCUUGCACCACUACAGCCCAAUGGCGUGUGCUUGAUGGAUGCGUUUUCGCUUGCUCGUUGAAAGGUUCGAGCCGGCUUGUAUUAUAUGCUGGAGGGAGAAUUUAUAUUAACUGUACCAAGAAUUUGGCUUAAGUAACGAGAAUGAUAGGAUGAAAAUGAAUAGUUCUUUUUAAAAUCUGUUAAAAACGUCCAAAACCGUCCAAAUACUAAAGAGAAGCCACUCAAGGUAGAACAUGUGGAGCUGGCUUGAAAAUAGAAAUGGAAUUGGCACAGCAAGUAAGAAAA